UUAAUCAUCAGGAUAGACAUGAAAGAGGAAAAUUCCUAGAAGGAGAAUCUUUCAUUAGAGAAGGGAAAGCAGGUGGUUGGAGAAAGUACUUCAGUGCAGAGCUGGAGGAAGAAUUUGAUAUUUGGAUUAAAAACAAGUUCGAGGGAUCCGGUAUACAGUUCAUGUACAACUAGCUAUGCAUCCGGUGUACAGUUUAUGUACAACUAGUUCUGUAUCUGGUGUACAGUUCAUGUACAACUAGUUAUGAAUCCAGUGUACAGUUCAUAUACAACUAGUUCUGUAUCUGGUGUACAGUUCAUGUACAACCAGGUCUAUAUUCGGUCUACAGUUCAUGUACACCUAUUAUGUAUCCGGUGUACAGUUCAUGUACAACUAGUUCUGUAUUAGGUGUACAGUUCAUGUACAACUAGUUCUGUAUCAGGUGUACAGUUCAUGUACAACUAGUUCUGUAUCCGGUGUACAGCUUGCAUGUACAGCUAGUUCUGUAGCAGGUGUACAGUUCAUGUACAACUAGUUCAGUAUCCGGUGUACAGUUCAUGUACAACUAGUUCUGUAUCCGGUGUACAGUUCAUGUACAACUAGUUCAGUAUCUGGUGUACAGUUCAUGUACAACUAGUUCUGUAUCUGGUGUACAGUUCAUGUAUUAUUGUUUAAAAGUUUUAUUCACUCUAUCAAUAAAUUGACGUGUAUUUAUGUAGUUUUAAUGUAGUGCUGUAUCUACAUUCUGCAAACAUCAAUACAAACUAAUUUUUCUUGCACGAAUUUUUGAAUAAAAACAUGAAACCUUAAAUUUUAAUCAACACUUCCUUCCAGUCUUGCUUGUCCUUGUGCAUAAGAAUAGAUCUUCAUGAAUUAGUA